rnacentral:misc_RNA from 1 species
GUAGGUGAACCUGCGGAAGGAUCAUUAACACGUAUCCACGUAUCAAAAACCCCCUGUGCAAACCCUCUUUGUGAAGGCUGAUUGGAGUUGUGCUCACUCGAUCUUAAUGAUGGGAGUUCCGUUCUCGGACUCGGGAUCUAUGAGUGGGCAUCGCGUUCGACAACCAGCCGCUAUUUUCCCAUCGUUAGCCCCUUCUAUUAUUUAACCCCUUUGUACUUUUUUGUACUGAACCAAUUCUUCGAGUUUCGGCCUUCUCGGGCUGAGAUACGAAAGAUAUUACGAAACUAAAGAACAACUCUUAGCAACGGAUAUCUUGGUUCCC